rnacentral:rRNA from 1 species
UACCAGCUCCCCGAGUUGUAGGGACGAUUAUUGGGCUUAAAGCGUCCGUAGCUGGCUUAGCAAGUCUCCUGUUAAAUUCAGCGACCUAAUCGUUGAGCCGCGGGAGAUACUACUAGGCUAGGAGGCGGGAGAGGUCGACGGUACUUUCGGGGUAGGGGUGAAAUCCUAUAAUCCCGGGAGGACCACCAGUGGCGAAGGCUGUCGACUAGAACGCGCUCGACGGUGAGGGACGAAAGCUGGGGUAGCGAACCGGAUUAGAUACCCGGGUAGUCCCAGCUGUAAACUAUGCGGGCUAGGUGUUGGGGUGGCUACGGGCCACUUCAGUGCCGCAGGAAAGCCAUUAAGCCCGCCGCCUGGGGAGUACGGCCGCAAGGCUGAAACUUAAGGAAUUGGCGGGGGAGCACUACAAGGCGUGAAGCUUGCGGUUC